AUUAGACCGCUUUGUCCGCUGCCU
rnacentral:siRNA from 1 species